rnacentral:rRNA from 1 species
UACGUAGGGGGCAAGCGUUGUCCGGAAUUAUUGGGCGUAAAGAGCGUGUAGGCGGUCCGGUAAGUCGGCUGUGAAAGUCCAGGGCUCAACCCUGGAAAGCGGGUGGAUACUGCCGGGCUAGAAUCCGGAAGAGGCGAGUGGAAUUCCUGGUGUAGCGGUGGAAUGCGCAGAUAUCAGGAGGAACACCAAUAGCGAAGGCAGCUCGCUGGGACGGUAUUGACGCUGAGGAGCGAAAGCGUGGGGAGCAAACAGG